CUAGAAGCUGAAGAAGGAAGACUGCGACUAGAAGCUGAAGAAGGAAGACUGCGACUAGAAGCUGAAGAAGGAAGACUGCGACUAGAAGCUGAAGAAGGAAGACUGCGACUAGAAGCUGAAGAAGGAAGACUGCGACUAGAAGCUGAAGAAGGAAGACUGCGACUAGAAGCUGAAGAAGGAAGACUGCGAUUAGAAGCUGAAGAAGGAAGACUGCGACUAGAAGCUGGAGAAGGAAGACAGUGGGGACGAAGAAAAAAUAUGAAAUUACUUAAGCGAUGGUAGCUAAAAGAAAAUUAAAAAUCAAAGGGAGAGGAAUGAAAACAAAGAAAAAAAGCGCGAUGGCAUGAUGACCAACAAAAAAAUUGCCUGAUUACGAGAAGAGAUGAACAAGAUGAACGAGAUGAUUGAGCAAAAGCUGGUGGAGUGAAGAUUUAAGUAAUGGACAAGAUAUAACGAGAAUUAAAGAAACAUAAACAAAAAGUCAUAGUCACAGUCUAAAACACCAUCGUGUGGAGGUCCAGAAAGAAGAUGAAGAUAAAAGGCGAAGAGAAAUUGGAUAUAAAGUAAAAUAGAGAAACUGAACGUAAAGGGGUAUAGAAUAAGAAGAGAAAAACAAGAGUGAAGAUGAAGAAAAAACACUGGCAGGAAAUUAAGAAAAGUGAAGACUAAGAGAAAACACCAUAGUAACGAUGUCAAGCUGAAAGACGAAGAAAGAAAACUGAAGAAGUAAGACAAAACAAUAGAUGCUGGAGACGAUAAAGCACCAAAAACCAGAAAGCGAAGAUUGGUAAAGAUUCUUGUAAAAAGAGAGAAGAAGCCAAGCUUCUUUACUGACAGCUACAUUAAGAAGAAAUUGAGUAAAGGUUAAAAAUACGUUCCCAACAUGGAAACUAACAAGCCUAAUGCGACAACGGAUAGGGAUGGAGACUGAAGCCAAAAAAAUACAAAAAUCAUCAAUCAAAAAUAACAUCCACAUAAAUGAAGACCGAAGAGCAACGGGACAGGAAUAACAUCGAUGGCGACAGAGAAAAAAAUACAGCCACUACAUAAAGUUGAAAGGACACCACCACGAAAAACUCUUGUGCAUACAAUUUAUACUUACCUGUUAAUAUACCGUACACAAAUUU